rnacentral:rRNA from 1 species
UACGUAGGGGGCAAGCGUUGUCCGGAUUUAUUGGGCGUAAAGAGCGUGUAGGCGGCCAUACAGGUCCGUUGUGAAAACUGGAGGCUUAACCUCCAGACGUCGAUGGAAACCGUAUGGCUAGAGUCCGGAAGAGGAGAGUGGAAUUCCUGGUGUAGCGGUGAAAUGCGCAGAUAUCAGGAAGAACACCCGUGGCGAAGGCGGCUCUCUGGUACGUGACUGACGCUGAGACGCGAAAGCGUGGGGAGCAAACAGG